rnacentral:tRNA from 1 species
GCUCGGGUGGUGGAACGGCAGACACGCCAGACUUAGGAUCUGGUGCCGCAAGGCGUGAGGGUUCAAAUCCCUCUCCGAGCACCA